rnacentral:rRNA from 1 species
UACGUAGGGGGCAAGCGUUGUCCGGAAUCAUUGGGCGUAAAGAGCGUGUAGGCGGCCCGGUAAGUCCGCUGUGAAAGUCCAGGGCUCAACCCUGGGAUGCCGGUGGAUACUGUCGGGCUCGAGUCCGGAAGAGGAGUGUGGAAUUCCUGGUGUAGCGGUGAAAUGCGCAGAUAUCAGGAGGAACACCAAUGGCGAAGGCAGCUCACUGGGACGAUGACUGACGCUGGAGACGCGAAAGCGUGGGGAGCAAACAGG